GAAUUUUUAAAUGUUGAAACAAACUCACAGCAUGGUUCUAACUCAAGACAACACAUGAGCCCAAGAUCUGAACUUGGUGAGGGUAAUGAACAUGUUCAUGGUGAAGAAGAGGAUGACUAUGUGGAGAAUGAAAAUUGUAAUGAGGAACCUGAUGGUGACGCCAAUCAACAUGUUGUAGCCCCUACAACCUCGCCUGCCAUGAACAUUACAACAUCAGCAAGGAAUGAUGUCCAACACUUUUCACAUGAUGCACUUUUAAUCCAAACAAUAAGCUAGCGGGUGAGGCUCUUGGAA